UACGGGGGGGGGCAAGCGUUGUUCGGAAUUACUGGGCGUAAAGGGCUCGUAGGCGGCCAACUAAGUCGGACGUGAAAUCCCCAGGCUUAACUUGGGAACUGCGUCCGAUACUGGAUGGCUUGAAUCCGGGAGAGGGAUGCGGAAUUCCAGGUGUAGCGGUGAAAUGCGUAGAUAUCUGGAGGAACACCGGUGGCGAAGGUGGCGAUCCUGGACCGGUAUUGACGCCUGAGUGAGCGAAAGCCAGGGGAGCAAACGGG
rnacentral:rRNA from 1 species